GGGGCUGCACUGGUUUCGACGUGGGUUCGGACACGCAGCAGGGCAUGUCGAGGUUCAGUCACCUCGUUAAUCCGCUGAAAUCAAGUAACUGCCAACGACAGCAAUUACGCUCUCGCCGCUUAAUUAACGGCGAACCUCGCAACAACCUGCCAAUGGGUUGGGCAAAGGGCGAAAGCUCCUAGCUGCGAGGGAAUUUUCAUUGGCUGGUCCUGACCCGGGUGCCUUGGGUCGGGACGAGAAAAUAGGGCACUGGCGGCCGGUGUAGCGUGCGUCUGCGCGACACCGGUGGCGAGAAACCAAAUCAGAACGCUACACAUGUAGAACUGCUCGUAGAAGGCUUGCGGACGCGGGUUCAAUUCCCGCCAGCUCCACCA
rnacentral:tmRNA from 1 species